GAUUUGAUCGUGGCUCAGAUUGAACGCUGGCGGCAUGCCUUACACAUGCAAGUCGAACGGCAGCACGGGAGCUUGCUCCUGGUGGCGAGUGGCGAACGGGUGAGUAAUGCAUCGGAACGUAUCCUGGAGUGGGGGAUAACGUAGCGAAAGUUACGCUAAUACCGCAUAUUCUGUGAGCAGGAAAGCGGGGGACCUUCGGGCCUCGCGCUCUUGGAGCGGCCGAUGUCGGAUUAGCUAGUUGGUGAGGUAAAGGCUCACCAAGGCGACGAUCCGUAGCAGGUCUGAGAGGAUGAUCUGCCACACUGGAACUGAGACACGGUCCAGACUCCUACGGGAGGCAGCAGUGGGGAAUUUUGGACAAUGGGGGCAACCCUGAUCCAGCCAUGCCGCGUGAGUGAAGAAGGCC
rnacentral:rRNA from 1 species